rnacentral:rRNA from 1 species
UACGUAGGGGGCUAGCGUUGUCCGGAUUUAUUGGGCGUAAAGAGCGUGUAGGCGGCCGGGUAAGUCCGGUGUGAAAACUCGAGGCUUAACCUCGAGAUGUCAUCGGAAACUAUUCGGCUAGAGUCCGGAAGAGGAGAGUGGAAUUCCUGGUGUAGCGGUGAAAUGCGCAGAUAUCAGGAAGAACACCUACGGCGAAAGCAGCUCUCUGGGACGGUACUGACGCUGAGACGCGAAAGCGUGGGGAGCGAACAGG